rnacentral:rRNA from 1 species
CAAUAGCGUAUAUUAAAGUUGUUGCGGUUAAAAAGCUCGUAGUUGGAUUUCUGUUGAGGUCGGCCGGUCCCUACUUCGUAGGCGUAUCUGGUUCAGCCUUGGCAUCCUCCUAGGGAACGGUACUGCUCUUAACUGAGUGGUCCGGUAUCUAGGACUUUUACUUUGAGGAAAUUAGAGUGUUUACGGCAGGCAAUCGCCUUGAAUAUGUUAGCAUGGAAUAAUAAUAUAGGACCUUGGUUCUAUUUUGUUGGUUUCUAGGACUAAGGUAAUGAUUAAUAGGGAUAUUUGGGGGCAUUCGUAUUAACCGGUCAGAGGUGGAAUUCUUGGAUUCGGUUACGACGAACUACUGCGAAAGCAUUUGCCAAGGAUGUUUUCAUUGAUCAAGAACGAAAGUGUGGGGAUCGAAGACGAUCAGAUACCAU